rnacentral:rRNA from 1 species
GGCUCACCAAGGCGACGACGGGUAGCCGGCCUGAGAGGGUGACCGGCCACACUGGGACUGAGACACGGCCCAGACUCCUACGGGAGGCAGCAGUGGGGAAUAUUGCACAAUGGGCGAAAGCCUGAUGCAGCGACGCCGCGUGAGGGAUGACGGCCUUCGGGUUGUAAACCUCUUUCAGCAGGGAAGAAGCCACAAGUGACGGUACCUGCAGAAGAAGCGCCGGCUAACUACGUGCCAGCAGCCGCGGUAAUACGUAGGGCGCAAGCGUUGUCCGGAAUUAUUGGGCGUAAAGAGCUCGUAGGCGGUUUGUCGCGUCUGCUGUGAAAGCCCGGGGCUUAACCCCGGGUGUGCAGUGGGUACGGGCAGACUAGAGUGCAGUAGGGGAGACUGGAAUUCCUGGUGUAGCGGUGGAAUGCGCAGAUAUCAGGAGGAACACCGAUGGCGAAGGCAGGUCUCUGGGCUGUUACUGACGCUGAGGAGCGAAAGCAUGGGGAGCGAACAGGAUUAGAUACCCUGGUAGUCCAUGCCGUAAACGUUGGGCACUAGGUGUGGGGGACAUUCCACGUUUUCCGCGCCGUAGCUAACGCAUUAAGUGCCCCGCCUGGGGAGUACGGCCGCAAGGCUAAAACUCAAAGGAAUUGACGGGGGCCCGCACAAGCGGCGGAGCAUGCGGAUUAAUUCGAUGCAACGCGAAGAACCUUACCAAGGCUUGACAUAUACCGGAUCGUUCCAGAGAUGGUUCUUCCCCUUUGGGGUCGGUAUACAGGUGGUGCAUGGUUGUCGUCAGCUCGUGUCGUGAGAUGUUGGGUUAAGUCCCGCAACGAGCGCAACCCUCGUUCCAUGUUGCCAGCACGUGAUGGUGGGGACUCAUGGGAGACUGCCGGGGUCAACUCGGAGGAAGGUGGGGAUGACGUCAAAUCAUCAUGCCCCUUAUGUCUUGGGCUUCACGCAUGCUACAAUGGCCGGUACAAAGGGUUGCGAUACUGUGAGGUGGAGCUAAUCCCAAAAAGCCGGUCUCAGUUCGGAUUGAGGUCUGCAACUCGACCUCAUGAAGUCGGAGUCGCUAGUAAUCGCAGAUCAGCAACGCUGCGGUGAAUACGUUCCCGGGCCUUGUACACACCGCCCGUCAAGUCACGAAAGUCGGUAACACCCGAAGCCGGUGGCCCAACCCUUGUGGAGGGAGCC